CUGAGAGAUGAGGUCGUUCAUCCCAGCUCACAGAAAGUCAUUAUUGCUCUUAUGAUUGCAUCUCUCCCUUGGGGAACAUUGUGACAGCCCUUGGUUACAAACGCCCAGCCACUCAGGAGCGGAUGACACACCAACCUAAGCUGAUGGAGUGGUGUUAGAAUCCAAGCUGGAAGAGCAGAAAUGCUUUCCUUGCCCUUUCUAGCCUUUUUGAGGCAUGGAGUCAGGGCCCAUUUCAAAGAUGUGCAUGUGGGGAGCUCACAUCACCUGGGACUGUAAUGUGUGGGCUGUGCUGAGUAUUUGCCUCCUGUCCUGGUAUCACUCUGCCUCCUACUCUCCACACUUUUGAGUCCAAUAAAGACACGUACAUCUCCCCGCUCCCA
rnacentral:lncRNA from 1 species